rnacentral:rRNA from 1 species
GAACGCUGGCGGCAGGCCUAACACAUGCAAGUCGAGCGCGAAAACACUUCGGUGUGAGUAAAGCGGCGGACGGGUGAGUAACGCGUAGGAAUCUACCUAGUAGUGGGGGACAACUCGGGGAAACUCGAGCUAAUACCGCAUACGCCCUACGGGGGAAAGCGGGGGACCUUCGGGCCUCGUGCUAUUAGAUGAGCCUGCGUUGGAUUAGCUAGUUGGUGGGGUAAUGGCCUACCAAGGCGACGAUCCAUAGCUGGUCUGAGAGGAUGA